GGGCCCUUAGCUCAGCGGUGAGAGCACCCGGCUCAUAACUGGAUGGUCCUCGGUUCAAAUCCGAGAGGGCCCACCA
rnacentral:tRNA from 2 species